CACCCAGCCCUAAAAAGUAAAUACUAUACAUUCUACAGUUAUUUUCAUCAACAUUAUUCUCAUAUUUUAUAAGUAGGUUGUAGGUACAACCUACGUAUCAGUCGAGCUGCGAGCCUGGGACAGGAUUCUGCUGCGUUGGACGUGGUGUUCCUCCCAGAGUGGCUACGCUGUGCAGACUUGAAAAACUCAAUUCUCUCCUUGCGCAAAAUUCUUCUUGUAGCUAGCCAUGCACAGUCGCUGUUUCGCCACCUGAGCAUUGCUGACGUCAUCUAAUAAUAGUUCAUCUGCUCAAGCUGCUGGUUUUGGCCCCCCUGAGCAUUGCCGGAGUCACAAUUCUUCAUAUUACUUUUGCUGAACUUUGAGCUCUUUAAGGACUGUGGUUCCAUAUGAUGUCUCCUACUCCCAACCCGCUGUAUCAUCAAGGAGUUCUCUUUCUCAUGACUAGCUUCAUGUGGCAUGUUGUUUUUGCUUCGAGCAGUUGAGACUACCUUAUGAACAUAUAUGUAGCUACCUAAUAAAAGCUGUAGGUUAAACUAGCAAGCUGACCGCCACCG
rnacentral:lncRNA from 1 species